UCCAAACAGGAGCACUUUGUGUAAGUUGGAGUCAGUUGGUGCACAGGCGAAUUUCUCUAGUCUACAGUACUUAUAUUUCAUUGAUCUGUGUCUUUCAGUACUACCACUGACCGGCUUUCCACAUCUUGUUGAAGUUGAAAAGCUCCACAAAGAUCCUAGACCCCUCUCUGGACUGACUUGAAAAGUCAGAAUACUGCAGGAAACUGAGGACUCUGAGCUGCACUUGGCAGCUCCAAAACAAUGGCAGAGCGGAUGGCGGACGCCAACCCCGCCAAGGUGAUCCAGAAUCCAAAGGCUGACGUUAAGAACUCGAGUGAAGUUUCAGCUGAGUCUGUAUUGGUGGCAGCAGUCAAAGUCAGACCUGCAGACCUGGGUCUAAUUCGAAGCUUGUCCAAGUCAGACUCUGACUUGUUGGCGUCACCACUCGAAGAGGAGGAUGGAAAUCUGACUGGCCGCAGUGGGUCCGUGUCUAACUGCAGCACUGGGCAGCCGUCCGCGGAGCGCAUGUCUUCCUUUGCCUCUGAGUGGGAUGAGAUUGAGAAGAUCAUGAACUUAAUUGGGGCAGGCAUUGAAACGUCCAAAAAUAAACAGCCCACACCAAGCUCAGAUGGGGCCUGUGGUAAAGCCCUGGACCAGCCGGUGGGAGAGUGGCUGGAGCACGUGGGGCUCCCGCAGUAUGAGAGCAGGUUCCUGCUCAAUGGCUUCGACGACCUACGAUUCAUGGGAAGUAACGUGAUGGAGGACCAGGAUCUCAGAGACAUUGGGAUCACUGACCCAGGACACAGAAAGAAAAUCCUCCAUGCGGCACGCAGCUUGCCCAAGGUUAAAGCACUGGGCUGUGAUGGCAGCACAUCUCUUGCAUCCUGGCUGGAUGGCCUCGGCCUGCAUGAAUAUCUACCCAACUUUCUUUCUAGUGGCUACCGCACACUGGAGUGUGUUAAGAACCUGUGGGAGCUGGAGAUUGUCAAUGUUAUUAAGAUUGGUCCCCUGGGCCACAGGAAGAGAAUCAUUGCCUCUCUAGCAGAGAGACCCUAUGAAGAGGCUCCAUCCAAGUCUCGUCGUCUGUCCCCUAUUAUGUUCCAUGACCUCCUGUCCCAGACCACAUCUCCCCUCAGUCAGAUGGACCCCUACACCAGUCGCUCCAUGGACAUGCUCUUGCCUUUGACUGAGCCGGACAGGAGGCGGAGAGGAGUUGACCAAGACUGUAGUGUGUCCCUGCGUUCCUAUAGUGAGAGGCCGCGCUCUGUAGACAGACAGAGCGAACGACAUAAAGACUCUCGUUUAAACCUCCGGCCACCGAGCCAGUCUGCUACCUAUGCCACGGUGUCCGCCUGGCAUCACCAGCCUGAGAAACUCAUCCUGGACUCCUGCGGCUACGAGGCCACUUACCUAGGGUCAAUGAUAAUCAGGGAUCUACGAGGAAUUGAGUCCACACAAGAUGCCUGUGCUAAAAUUAGGAAAUCAAAAGAUUCAAGAAAGGGUCCAGUUGUCAUACUGUCCAUUACCUAUAGAGGAGUCAAGUUUAUUGAUGCAGCCACAAAGACUAUAGUUGCGGAGCAUGAGAUCAGGAACAUCUCGUGCGCCGCUCAGGACCCAGAUGAACUGUGCACUUUUGCUUAUAUUACCAAGGAUCUGAAGAGUGGCCACCACUUCUGCCAUGUCUUCAGCACUGUGGAAGUGACACAGACCUACGAGAUCAUCCUAACACUGGGACAGGCAUUUGAGGUGGCCUAUCAGAUGGCAAUUCAGUCCAGGGCAAGACACUAUGUCCCACCUACAUCUCUGGGCUCAGAGGUCAUAGAGACCAAAACCAGCCGACCUGUAUCUCAGUCGUGGAGCAGCGUGCGGAGAUCAGCAGGUGCCCCUCUACUCGAAUGCCGCUGCUGUCACUGUCACAAGUGUACUACCCACCGUCCUUCCUUCCUCCCGUUGCACUCUGUUAGCCCUGGAGUCCAGAUCGACCCCCUGGAGAUGGACGCAGACAUGCACUCCCUGGGCAGCACCACCUGGCUCUUGGACCAGCGGGACUCCAACAGGCGCCCUGUCAGCACCAAGUACGAGACCACCAUAUUCUGAGGCCGGAUCCCCACAGCCGCCCCUUUGCACCCUCUCGUACUUUCCUCCCCCUCCUGUAUCCAGUUCAUUAUUUAUCUACACACACACACACACACAUACAUGCGAGCCCCGUGCCUUCUCACUGUGAUGGUAUAGCAUCCCUCAGGGCUGCCUACUCCUGCACCCUCCUUUGCCCUGCCCAGCGACCCACACCAACCUCUUUACCCGCCAUGAAAAAACACUCCCGCGGCUCUCCCGUGCCUCCCCAACACCCCUGGCAGCCUCCCUCGCCUGUUGCUGGUGCAGCCAAUGGCGGAGGCCUGGAACGGACGAUUCUGGAUUGAUGUCAUUAUACAGUGGCCAUGCUCUCUCAACCAAACUGCCUCUUCCUCCUCAUCCUCCUCCUCCUGACAGCUUGCAUCUGCCUCCAAAUCCCCGAUAGCUCCCAGAGCCUGUCCUGUCUUACCAGGCAUCUACCACUGUGAGGCACUAUGAGGAGGCUGCUUUGCUAGCAUGGGAUGCAAGACGGACAAUUAAUCAGCAACAUGCAGCAAACAACCAGUUUUUUUUCUACGCAUUUGUACAAUACUCAUAAUAACACGAUGGAUCGGUCAUGAAUCUAUCACUGAUGUCUGACCUCAAACGGACCAAGAACUGAACCCUCAUAUAAACACACACACACACACACACACACACACACACACACACACACACACACACAAGGACAACCUUCCUACACUUUACCAAGGACAACAGCCUUACUUAAUUUUGGUUAUCUAUAAUCAACUAAAGCCCCCACCUUUCCCCAACCUCCAACAACUGCACGCCUCCCCCUGCUUCUGAAAGACUGAAAAAAGAGAACACUUCUGACUUCCUGGUGUGUUAAAGUGACUGUGACUGGUUGGGACGAUGUUCUUAUGAUGGUACAGUUUUGUCUAGAUGAGAGUCUUUGCUCUGGCCUUGUACUGCCCUGUCUGCAGUCUCUCAGCAUUCAUGGUAGCAAUGAGAGACUACAAAUCUCUUGUCAAUUAAAAAAAAACAACAACUUAACACUGUGUUAAAACAUGGCACUAUCCCUUUUAAUACCUUUUCUUUUCUUACGGUGCAAAUAGGACAUUAGUGCAUUUUGUGAUACUUUUUGACAGAUGGAGGCUGACUGAAAUACUUUGGAAGAGAGUGACAAAGAAGGUAUCACAAAGGAUCCCAACAUCUAUACAACCAGAGGCCAACAAAACAAAGAAAAGACCACCAAAACAAAUUACACAAGCAUAUAGGGCGUACUAACAUUUGUUCUACAUGAUACAAUUUCGGUAAUCAAAACAAAAAUAUCAGCACGAUUUCCUUUGAGUAUAUUAAUGAGCCUGGAGCAUAAUUUGGCGCACCCUUCCCAACAUAGCAUCUUAUUAUCACGAUUUCAUGGAUAGGUAUCCGUGCUGUUUCACACCAAUUUAGAAUUAGGUACAGCACAUGCAAAGUAUGUCACUUGAGAAUAAACGGCAGUGAAAAGAUUUAAUUCCACUACAUUAAAAGAGCCAAAUCUAAGUGUAGCUCUGGUGUUGUAUUAAUGCGAAUGGAUUUGUUAUGCUGAGAACAUGACACCGCCCUCCCCCCCCCUUCUUUUUUAACAAGAAUUUCCCUCCUGCACUGUGACUCAAAAAUGCUUGUUGUAGAGUCGACACGUAUCUGUGGGUUCUCCCAUGUGUGCACUACCUACUGUGCGUGCUGUAUGCCUUGUUUCUGUCUGUCCUCAUGGGAGUUUGGGACUGUUACUGUUACAUCACUGUCCACUGUCCUUGUUUCUGUGUGCUGCAGGAGAUGUGAGAUAUUGUCUCUUCUCCAGAAGACAGUGUGUCUGGAGACUGACUGUUAAGAUAUAGCUGGUCUGUGUGCGGUACCGUGGCUGUGUCAUUGCCACUCUGUUCUGACUGUUAACUGUUAGCUUUCACUUAACGAUGCAUGAUGGCAGUGUUUUUAUUUGUGUUUUUUGUACCCUUUGAUGCACUUGGCCUGAGCAGUCUUUGUAUGUACUGUAGCAGUGUCUCGUCUCUUCUCACUCAUCUGCCAUUUGCUUAUUAUGUUCCCUCUCUCCGUUACACACCAAUACAGCGGCUCAUCCGCAUUCCUCCAUGUUUCCAUUGUCGUCAUUCCUCCAACAUUUUGUCACGUAUGAUCUUCCAUUUUGUGUGUCACCAAGACAACCUGCUUUAGUAUGGAUGCAUAAUGUAAAAGCAUUACACUUUAAUGAGCAGCAGCUAUUUAAAGCAAGUUUUGGUGGCAUGAUAUGGCUGUGCAUGUAUUGGUCUUUUUAACAUUGAUGUUUUCCUUGUGUAGCUCACCCCAGCGUUCAAGUUUCCGGAUACCAAGCUGUGAGUUGAAGGGGAGCAGCCGAUCUGAGUGUGUUUGCUUGUGUUGAGUUAGUGGGAAAGAGAUAGACAGAGAAAAAUGGGAGGUAAGCCUUAUGCAACGAGCUGGGCCAAACCAGCGCUACUCUGACAUUUAGAUCUCACUCUGUAUACCCCCCUGCUCCUCCACUGCCCCUGAUAUGAAUCCCAACACACAGAUGAAAGGCAACCUGUUGUCCCACACCACUGACUAAACAGGACCUGUGUAUCACUCCUGUUUCGAGAGAGGUCAGUCAGAAGGGUCAAGUCUAUUUCCUGGCCUCAAUGUGACUUUCUGAUCUUGUCAUGUAGGUACUGUAAUGUUUAGAGCACUGUAGACCAUUAAUGAUAUAGACCAUUAAUGAACAUUUCUAUUGAUUCAGGUCUAUUGGAGAUAGUAACCGGGAAUUGUUAAGGGUAAGGAGAAAUGUAACAAAAUGUAGAGAAAAAAAACAAACUGUACCAGCAUACAAUGCUUUGCCCAUGUUUGUGGACAGAGUAUGGUUUGUCAAUGAAAAUGUGAUACUGUUUCAAAUUUCAAAGCAAUAUUAUAUUAAUGAAAUUAAAUAAUACAAUGACAAAAGAAUCCCCUCUGAA